AUUGAACGCUGGCGGCAGGCCUAACACAUGCGAGUCGAACGGUAACAGGAAGAAGCUUGCUUCUUUGCUGACGAGUGGCGGACGGGUGAGUAAUGUCUGGGAAACUGCCUGAUGGAGGGGGAUAACUACUGGAAACGGUAGCUAAUACCGCAUAACGUCGCAAGACCAAAGAGGGGGACCUUCGGGCCUCUUGCCAUCGGAUGUGCCCAGAUGGGAUUAGCUAGUAGGUGGGGUAACGGCUCACCUAGGCGACGAUCCCUAGCUGGUCUGAGAGGAUGACCAGCCACACUGGAACUGAGACACGGUCCAGACUCCUACGGGAGGCAGCAGUGGGGAAUAUUGCACAAUGGGCGCAAGCCUGAUGCAGCCAUGCCGCGUGUAUGAAGAAGGCCUUCGGGUUGUAAAGUACUUUCAGCGGGGAGGAAGGGAGUAAAGUUAAUACCUUUGCUCAUUGACGCUACCCGCAGAAGAAGCACCGGCUAACUCCGU
rnacentral:rRNA from 1 species